GCUAAACGCGAAGAACCUUACCAAGGCUUGACAUAUACGGUCUAUCCCUAGAGAUAGGGAGUGCUUCGGCGCCGUAUACAGGUGGUGCAUGGUUGUCGUCAGCUCGUGUCGUGAGAUGUUGGGUUAAGUCCCGCAACGAGCGCAACCCUCGUUCUAUGUUGCCAGCACGUAAUGGUGGGGACUCAUAGGAGACUGCCGGGGUCAACUCGGAGGAAGGUGGGGAUGACGUCAAAUCAUCAUGCCCCUUAUGUCUUGGGCUUCACGCAUGCUACAAUGGCCGGUACAAAGGGCUGCAAUACCGUAAGGUGGAACGAAUCCCAAAAAGCCGGUCUCAGUUCGGAUUGAGGUCUGCAACUCGACCUCAUGAAGUCAGAGUCGCUAGUAAUCGCAGAUCAGCAACGCUGCGGUGAAUACGUUCCCGGGUCUUGUACACACCG
rnacentral:rRNA from 1 species